rnacentral:rRNA from 1 species
GUAAUAGCUCACUGGUCGAGUGAUCCUGCGCCGAAGAUUUCCGGGGCUAAAACUUACUACCGAAGCUACGGCAUCAGUAAUGAUGGGUAGGGGAGCUUCCCAUACGGGUUGAAGCAUGACCGUAAGGACAUGUGGACAGUAUGGGAGUGAGAAUGUUGGCAUGAGUAGCGAGAUGUGGGUGAGAAUCCCACAGGCCGUAAACCCAAGGUUUCCAGGGGAAGGUUCGUCCGCCCUGGGUUAGUCGGGACCUAAGCUGAGGCCGAAAGGCGUAGGUGAUGGACAACAGGUUGAUAUUCCUGUACUACCGAUAACCGUUUGAGAGAAGGGAUGACACAGUAGGAUAAGCUAAGCACACUGUUGGUUAUGUGUGCCCAAGCAUUGAGGCAGUCAAAGUAGGCAAAUCCGCUUUGAUAAUGCUGGGAUGUGAUGGGGAGCGAAAUUUAGUAGCGAAGUAGCUGAUUUCACACUGUCAAGAAAAGUCUCUAUCGAGGUUAAAGGUACCCGUACCGCAAACCGACACAG